rnacentral:ncRNA from 2 species
UGGCCGGUCGGCUUGCAGCCACGUAAAAUAAUUCGCUAAAGGGCCGUUGCUGAAAAGCC